UUCUAAUUAGUCGCUGGGCAGAGCCCGCAGCGACUCUAGGUUUCGGCACGCAUUUGUGUCGGAUCUUGGAUCGUUAGCCACAAAAUGACAAUUACGUCAUUAAUAAAAAAUAAAAUUACGUCAUUACUAUUCGUCGCUGAAUUAAAGAUGGCCGUUUACUACGAGCGAAUGGUAUCAUCGAUUUUGUACAUAUUUUUUUUAUUUUUCCGAUGAACCUUAAAAGUUUUCCGAUGAAACAGACUUUAUAGAGCGAAAGUCAUUUUAUGUGAGUAAAUUUGGAAGGCUACAAGCUUGAAAUAGAGGACAAAAGUUCACAAUUUUCAAUUUUACAAAGUUGGAACGGGCCGCAACCUUUGUAAAUUGCAACAAUAAUAUUCGCAAACUGCUGUUUAUUUGGGUGCUUUGUUUACGGCUGUUGAUGCAAAUAAUCCUGUUACGGAUAGGUGGUCAAAAGAACAUGGUGUAGCCUAACAAGACCGAAAUACAACCACAGUGGUCACCAUUCGUCACUACUUGUGUGAAACUUAAACUUUGCCGCUAGGUGUCAGGCUUUUAAAUCUGUAAUAUUUCAGUCAUUUUAUUAUCAAUGUAUUGUGUUUCUAACGCCGAACGGGAAAAUGUUGGAGCCACAGUAAUAGACUCUUUCAAGGUCAAGAUGCCAUAAUGAAACACAAAGUGUAAGGGCUGCAAACACAAUGGAAAUUCCUACUAGUAAAUUUGCAAGCUUGUAUAAACACAAUGGUGAAAACAAUGUAUUGAAAUUAAGUAGGGGGGUCAAUGCAACUCAAUGGGUUAUUAAAAGUAACUAGCGUGUCAGGCUCUAUGCUUGAAAUAAAGCCUGCUACUGAGGUCAGUAAAAAGGAUUGAUGCACAUGAUUCGUAC